GAGUCCGGAACUCCAGCCUAUGGGAAGGUGCCACCCGCUUUCUGGGUGGGUCUUCCCUCCUCAGCUAAACCUCCCUGGAAACAGCAUCCCAAACACGCCUCGCAUUCUCUCCCAGGUGAUUCUAAUCCUGUCAUCUUGACAGCGGAGAUUAACCGCCAGCGAGUGACUGUUCAUUUUUCUGUCAUUUCAAGAGCGGGUGGGGAGAAGCUGAAGGAAGGGCCUGAGUCAGGACUGGGGAUUGGCCAGGCAGAGAUGACAAAGUGAGUGAGCGAGGGGCAAAGGAACUUGGCUUUAGCAAGGCAGUGGUUAUGACGGGCAGGCCAUCUGGGUCAGGAUACAGAAUGAGGAGAGUGGGGAAGACAGAAAAGGCAGUAAGAGCCUUCAACUCGAGGGCCAGACACCGGUGAACUGAAGAGGUUAUGUGGAAGACAGGAAGAGGUGGGUGGAUGGCAGCACCCAGAGAUUAAGGUUGCUCUGGGGAUGCAAUUCUCAUUAAGACAGGCCCAGGGCUAUAAACGUUGGUGUGGUCCUGAGGCGGGACCUGCAGAACAAUGGUGGUUUCACUCUUAUCUGAAGUAUGAGGCUCACCUUCUGAAUCAUGGCUCUAAGGAGAGCCUUCCAAAGCUCCCCUGAUCAAUAAAGCUGGAGUUCAAAGCAGGCUUCCGACUCUCCGCGCAGUACUUUUCCAGCUAUUUCUUUAUACCCCGGCUACUUCUUUCUGCACUAGAUGAGUUACACAGCCCAUCAUCCUGUCCCGGUGUUCUGUUCCUCACAGCCAUUUGGAGUGACAGAUAGGGAUCGCUUCUUUUCAAAGGCAUGAUCGUAUUUCCUAGAGGAAGCUCAGAAUGCUGUCCAAGCUCAGCAUGGGUGCUGAGCAUGCAAAAGGUGCAUUGGUGUUUGUCUGUGUGUACCACACGCAUGCCUGGUGCCUUCAGAAGCCAGAAAAAGAUGCUGAGUUCCCUGGAGCUGGAGUUUCAGACAAUUGUGAGUCACCAUGUGGAUGCUAGGAAUUGUGUGUAUGAGGAUUUUGCCUGCACGGAUACAAUUUCACCAUGGCUGUGCAGUGCCUGCUGAAGCCAGAAGAGGGUAUAGGAUCCUCACUGAACUGCAAUUACAGACUGUUUUGAACUGCCUACCCUGUGAAUUUUGGUAACCAAGCCCAGGUCCUCUGCAAGAGCUCCAAGUGCCCUUAACCACUAAGCCAUCUCUCCAGCCCCAAUUAAAAAGAAAAGGAAAUUUCA